UUUAUAAAGGAGGGGAAGUCCGUUCAGCUUCUCGGCGGUGGUUGGAGAGAAGCGGCGGUUCAUAAACAAGAAGAGUUUGACGACGGCGGUUCGAGGUAUCAUUACUACUACUGCAAGUUCCUUCCUUUGGUCCAACACAGUCAUUCACACUAAUGGAUACGGGGCAUUCUUCUGCUUCUUCAUCCCUUCCAUGGAUUUGGGUGAUUGAAGCCUUAGCAAAAGAGAAGGAAGUUGAUAUGUCUGUAUUAAUCGAUUUAGCUGCGAAGACACCUGAAAUAUUUGAUGAAGUAGGAAAAGAUGCUAGGAACAUCCUUCUUUUGAGAUGCUUGGAACGCUUUAAUGCUACUGGUUUAACUCCUAACAUUGAGAUUGAUAAAUUAA